rnacentral:rRNA from 1 species
AGUGAACGCUGGCGGUAGGCCUAACACAUGCAAGUCGAACGGCAGCACAGUAAGAGCUUGCUCUUACGGGUGGCGAGUGGCGGACGGGAGAGGAAUACAUCGGAAUCUACUUUUUCGGGGGGGAUAACGUAGGGAAACUUACGCUAAUACCGCAUACGACCUACGGGUGAAAGCAGGGGAUCUUCGGACCUUGCGCGAUUGAAUGAGCCGAUGUCGGAUUAGCUAGUUGGCGGGGUAAAGGCCCACCAAGGCGACGAUCCGUAGCUGGUCUGAGAGGAUGAUCAGCCACACUGGAACUGAGACACGGUCCAGACUCCUACGGGAGGCAGCAGUGGGGAAUAUUGGACAAUGGGCGCAAGCCUGAUCCAGCCAUACCGCGUGGGUGAAGAAGGCCUUCGGGUUGUAAAGCCCCUUUGUUGGGAAAGAAAAGCAGCAGGUUAAUACCCCGCUGUUCUGACGGUACCCAAAGAAUAAGCACCGGCUAACUUCGUG